GGGGAAACUGAGGCCCAGAGAUAGGGAGGGACCUGCCCCCGUCAGAGGAAUGAGGCCACAGUCCGUGCAGCCUCUUACAGAUGUUUGCAGCCUGCCUGGAGAGCCCGGCUGUCGGCUUGGCUUUUGGCCAUAAGGAAGCGAUAUGGCUCGGGUCAGACAGCUUCGACCCCAUGCCCACCGGGCCCGAGUCUGUUCUCUAUCACAUCUGAGGGGGUCUUCCAGAAUUGAGCCCCUGGACUCCAGGUCUCUGGUUUAUGAGAGGGUAAACUGAGGCCCAGAGGGGGCUACAACCUGCCAGGCUGUCCGGCAGCUGAGUGAGGCCAACGGCCCCCGCCCCACAGGAGACGAAGUCGCAGACGUCGGUGACACUCAGCAUCGUCCACUGCCCUCCCGUCACCACCGCCAUCAUCCACCGGCCCCACGCCCGCGAGCAGCUGGGCUUCUGCGUGGAGGACGGCAUCAUCUGCAGCCUCCUCCGUGGUGGCAUCGCCGAGCGUGGGGGCAUCCGCGUCGGCCACCGCAUCAUUGAGAUCAAUGGGCA
rnacentral:lncRNA from 1 species